rnacentral:rRNA from 1 species
AGAGUUUGAUCAUGGCUCAGGAUGAACGCUAGCGAUAGGCCUAACACAUGCAAGUCGAGGGGCAGCACAUGAGGUAGCAAUACUGAUGGUGGCGACCGGCGCACGGGUGAGUAACGCGUAUGCAACCUGCCUACAACAGGGGAAUAACCCGUUGAAAGACGGACUAAUACCCCAUAAUACAGGGAUCCCGCAUGGGAAUAUUUGUUAAAGAUUUAUCGGUUGUAGAUGGGCAUGCGUUCCAUUAGCUGGUUGGUGAGGUAACGGCUCACCAAGGCAACGAUGGAUAGGGGAACUGAGAGGUUUAUCCCCCACACUGGUACUGAGACACGGACCAGACUCCUACGGGAGGCAGCAGUGAGGAAUAUUGGUCAAUGGACGCAAGUCUGAACCAGCCACGUCGCGUGAAGGAAGACGGCCCUACGGGUUGUAAACUUCUUUUGUAAGGGAAUAAAGUGGGCCACGUGUGGCUUUUUGCAUGUACCUUACGAAUAAGGAUCGGCUAACUCCGUGCCAGCAGCCGCGGUAAUACGGAGGAUCCGAGCGUUAUCCGGAUUUAUUGGGUUUAAAGGGUGCGCAGGCGGGAGAUUAAGUCGGCGGUGAAAUUUUGCAGCUCAACUGUAAAAGUGCCUUCGAAACUGGUUUCCUUGAGUGUAGAUGAAGUAGGCGGAAUUUGUGGUGUAGCGGUGAAAUGCAUAGAUAUCACGAGGAACUCCGAUUGCGCAGGCAGCUUACUAAACUACUACUGACGCUCAGGCACGAAGGCGUGGGGAUCAAACAGGAUUAGAUACCCUGGUAGUCCACGCAGUAAACGAUGAUUACUAGCUGUUUGCGAUACAAUGUAAGCGGCUGAGCGAAAGCGUUAAGUAAUCCACCUGGGGAGUACGUUCGCAAGAAUGAAACUCAAAUGAAUUGACGG